rnacentral:rRNA from 1 species
CUCCUACGGGAGGCAGCAGUGGGGAAUUUUGGACAAUGGGGGCAACCCUGAUCCAGCCAUUCCGCGUGAGUGAAGAAGGCCUUCGGGUUGUAAAGCUCUUUCGGCAGGAACGAAACGACGGGCUCUAACAUAGCCUGUCAAUGACGGUACCUGAAGAAGAAGCACCGGCUAACUACGUGCCAGCAGCCGCGGUAAUACGUAGGGUGCGAGCGUUAAUCGGAAUUACUGGGCGUAAAGCGUGCGCAGGCGGCUUUGUAAGACAGGUGUGAAAUCCCCGGGCUUAACCUGGGAACUGCGCUUGUGACUGCAAGGCUCGAGUGCGGCAGAGGGGGGUGGAAUUCCACGUGUAGCAGUGAAAUGCGUAGAGAUGUGGAGGAACACCGAUGGCGAAGGCAGCCCCCUGGGUCGACACUGACGCUCAUGCACGAAAGCGUGGGUAGCAAACAGGAUUAGAUACCCUGGUAGUCCACGCCCUAAACGAUGCCAACUAGGUGUUGGGGAAGGAGACUUCCUUAGUACCGUAGCUAACGCGUGAAGUUGGCCGCCUGGGGAGUACGGUCGCAAGAUUAAAACUCAAAGGAAUUGACGGGGACCCGCACAAGCGGUGGAUGAUGUGGAUUAAUUCGAUGCAACGCGAAAAACCUUACCUACCCUUGACAUGCCAGGAAUCCUGCUGAGAGGCGGGAGUGCUCGAAAGAGAGCCUGGACACAGGUGCUGCAUGGCUGUCGUCAGCUCGUGUCGUGAGAUGUUGGGUUAAGUCCCGCAACGAGCGCAACCCUUGUCAAUAGUUGCCAUCAUUCAGUUGGGCACUCUAUUGAGACUGCCGGUGACAAACCGGAGGAAGGUGGGGAUGACGUCAAGUCCUCAUGGCCCUUAUGGGUAGGGCUUCACACGUCAUACAAUGGUCGGUACAGAGGGUUGCCAAGCCGCGAGGUGGAGCCAAUCCCAGAAAGCCGAUCGUAGUCCGGAUCGGAGUCUGCAACUCGACUCCGUGAAGUCGGAAUCGCUAGUAAUCGUGGAUCAGCAUGCCACGGUGAAUACGUUCCCGGGUCUUGUACACACCGCCCGUCACACCAUGGGAGUGGGUUUCACCAGAAGUAGGUAGCCUAACCGCAAGGAGGGCGCUUACCACGGUGGGAUUCAUGACUGGGGUGAAGUCGUAACAAGGUAACC